UGAGUGCUCAGUUUUACCUGCUCCC
rnacentral:piRNA from 1 species